rnacentral:rRNA from 1 species
GAUGAACGCUAGCGGCAGGCCUAACACAUGCAAGUCGAGGGGUAACUAGAGUGAUAGCAAUAUUACUUUGGCUAGACCGGCGCACGGGUGCGUAACACGUAUGCAACCUACCUUAUACUGGGGAAUAACUUCGAGAAAUCGGCGCUAAUACCCCAUAACAUUGCGAAGAGGCAUCUCUUUGCAAUUAAAGCUCCGGCGGUAUAAGAUGGGCAUGCGUCCAAUUAGCUAGUUGGUGAGGUAACGGCUCACCAAGGCUACGAUUGGUAGGGGUUCUGGGAGGGUGAUCACCCGCACUGGUACGGAGACACGGACCAGACUCCUACGGGAGGCAGCAGUGAGGAAUAUUGGGCAAUGGACGAAAGUCUGACGCAGCCAUGCCGCGUGCAGGAUGACGGCCCUAUGGGUUGUAACUGCUUUUGUACGGGAAUAAACCCUUCUACGUGUAGGAGGCUGAAGGUACCGUAAGAAUAAGCACCGGCUAACUCCGUGCCAGCCGCCGCAGUAACAC